UAUAGAGUGCCUGAUUAAAGGAUAAUUUUGAUAGAAUUAAUCAAGUGUACACUACACCUCUGUAA
rnacentral:tRNA from 1 species